ACAUUUUUCCUUGGUUCUCAUGCAUCGGGAGAACUUUGACUCUCAGAGUGAUGCUAUAGGUAUCAAAACUUGAGAAACGUUAGAAUUAUAUUCCUCAGUUCCUCAGUGAAGUAUGAUUUACUUCGCUGAGAUCACGGAAUUCAUAGUGGUAAUACUUGUUUUGUUCCACCAUUCCUAAAAGCUUACCUGUAGGUCUUUAGGUAGGAAAGAGCAGAACAUCCUUUACUUUGCCGUGCUAGUGUUUACCACAUCUUCUGUCUAAAUGUUGGAGUUCAACAUGCAAACUGCUAAUAUACUCUAACAGCAUUUUGCAGAUUAUAAGAUUAUUUUUGUAACCCUUGUUUGCAUGUGAGUUUAAUACUAGUAUCUCUGGUAGUUUCUUCAUGUUGCACUUAUUAGACACAAAUCAUCAUCAAAGAGUGUGUUGUGUGGGCAGGAGACCUGGCUCUUGACUGAUAAGCUGCAAUUGGAAUUCUCUUCCCAGAGCCAACAGAGAUGAUUAUUAAUUGUAAUUAUUUGAAUAUUUUUUCCAUGUCACUGGAAUAAUAAAGUUAAAGUUUAAGGAAACAGAUUCUGAUCUGGUAGGAGUCAGUAGCAGCUUUCAGCUGGGUAGUCAGUAUACUGUGACAAAUUCUAUCGUUGCAGCAACAUUGAGCUCUCUAUGCAGCUCUCUCUUCUUUUGUGGUGGGUUUUUAAGCUAUGGACUAAUUUAGACCAUUGGUACCCAAGCAUCUCAGCUGGCCAAUGUGCUCCCAUCUUUUUCUUCGGUUAUAUUUCCUCCAGACUGCUCCUGGACAUCAACUCUAGACAGUUUCUUGGAUAACAGGUAUUCCUAUACUGAGUAGAACUGUGAUUCUUCUGUGGAUGUUCUAUUCUAUACAUAUACCUAUGUCCAACUUUGUAUUUCCAGCUGUCUCUAACUAGCUUACCAUUGCUGACAGAUGGUUUUUUUUUUUUUCCUUAUUACCUCUCCCCUAUUUCCUCCUUUAUUUGGGGGAUAUAUACUUUAUUUUUCACCAUGUCUUUCAGUUAUGUCCAAAUAAAGUAAUUUCUCUGCUUUGCUUUUUCCCUUCCCUUCCCCUUUUUCUUUUCCUUGUUUUUUCCUCUUCACUUUGCUUCAGUUCAGUUGGAAACAUUUGUCAUCUUUCUUAAUAUGUUAUUUCUCAUUCUUCCAGCUCAUUUAGGGAAUUAUUAAAGAAUAGAAAUGAUCAACAUGAUCCCCUUGUUAUUGCAAAAGAUGUCAGCUUGGCAUACUGCUAGUCCUCAUUGUCUUUGGUUUACAUUCAAUUAGCCAGUCUUUGGAUCUGUCCAAUCCAAUUUAAAUUAACAUUUCAAUUACUCUUUCAUGAAAGAGAGUAAAUGCUUCAUUAAAUUACACGCCUUAUUAAAAUAGCCAUCAACAUCUGUAAAUAAGCUUUCUGACAUGAUAUUAUACAACAUAAAUGAUUUUUCACUAUCACAAAAAUACCUAAAGUACCUACCAUUUUAAGUAGGCUAGAAUUUAAAAUGUUAGGUUCUUAAUACUGUCUGUAUGAGGAGAUAAAAUGCUGUCUGUAUGAGGAGAUAAUAAACUGAUUCAAGAGCUGCAUAGUCUCAGAUUUCCUGAAAACAUUUCUGUGUGUUUUAGAGAAAUGGAGCACUUGAGUUUCUCUCAAAUCACAAAUGAUAGAGCACUGUGCUUGUUGCUGAAGAAGGACAGAACAAAAAGAUAUCUCUGUGCCCCUAGAUAUUAAAAUGAAAACAUACCACUAAUGGAGGGUGGAUCAGGGUUCACGGCAGCCUGAAAUUUUUUGCCACUUCCCACAAGGCAACUUCUGCUGUCACGUGCAAUGAUACAGUGCCCUUGUGAUGUUGAUGAGAUAGCAUGAGUGUUUCUGACAGCUAUGUACUGAACAGAAUGCGGGAAAUGAACCAUAAUUUAUAACUAGUCUUAUAUUCAAGUUCCCAUAGCAUAUGAUGAAUGGAUUCACUGCAAUUUGGACUCUUUUACUAGAUGUUUGUAAUUUUUGGAGUUCUCUCUUCUUCAAGCCACAAUCUAGUCAUUCCCUUAUGCAUGUGUAUUACUUUUAAGGAUGAAUUUCUGUACAUCUGCAUUCAGAAAAGUACUUACAAUUUGUCCCUAACUCUAAGAUGAGUAAUAACUGUGGAAAGCCAGCAAUCAAAUAAUGUUUCAUCUUACAGCAACCAGGAAUGAGCUUAAACAUCAUGUAACGCUUGUCAGCCUUCUUGGCUCUCAGUAAAGAAAACCAAAUAUUUUCCUUUUUCUAUUCCCUCACCACAUAUUUUAACUUGAACAUGCCUUUCCUUCUGUCCUUUUUGCCCACAAGACAGAACCUGGUAAAACAACUGUCAGUAGCUCUGUUCAGGGCAGAGCAAUGUCUCUGCUUCAGUAACUGCAGUGCAGACUUCAAAUUAUGACACAAAAAUGUUUUAGAACCAUAAGAUGAAAAAUAUCUAUUUUUUAUUGGCUGUUUACAUGGUUGCUAUACUUAAUAUUACACUAUAAUGUUUGCUUUCAGCCACUGUUCAGCUGUAUACAUAUAUUUUGACCUUGAUGACAGAAAAAAUUCUCAAAAAGCCUAGUCAUAAAUUAAUAUUGAAAAGGUGUUGGUGACUUUUUCUUUUUUUUUUUUAUUUCAAACUCUACAGCCACCUAUGCUGUAAAUAUAUUUGUUGGACAACCAUUUCAGCAGUGCUGCAAUGUGCAAGUACUUGCAAAUUUGAGACAGAAGUAAGAUGACAAGAGCUGCCAUGGAGAUUGUAAAAUAUUUAUUAAUACAAUAAUAGUACUUUCUCUUGGAUCAUAUUUAUAAUUUAAAUUGUAUACCACAAAGGUACCUUCGUCCUUUAAAGAAGAUCAGAAAAUUUCAGUUUAGAUACAUGCUGUAUAUUCCUAAAUAGCUUAAUUUACUUCGUAUGUAGGCAACAUAAUUUGAUCUUUAAAUUUAAAAAGACAUUUCUUCUUAUAUUCCCGAAUAAUGCAUUUGGGUAUAUUCACUUUUGUUGGUAGAAUAGUGUUCACAGACAGCUGAACUUCAAGUUUUUUAUAAAACUGGCCUUAGUUAUAGAAUUUGAAAAGAAUGGAGAGAAUAUAUCUUUCCAUAUUUGAAUCUUCAGAGAGUUUGAUACAAUUUUCAAGUGCCAGUGAAAAAAAAAAAAAAGCUCCUAAAUGAAAUGUAUGUUAGAGCCAUUUUGAAAGUCUGAAAUUUGUAGUUGCUGUUCUACAUCUACCACAGACUCACUAUGUAAUUUUGUGCAGGUGAUUUGGGGCUAGUUUCUUCCAUUCUUACCUGUGAAAUACCUUAAGGGGUGCUUAAUAUUUUUCAAUUUCUAUUCUUUACAAUUAGGUUUAUAAUUCUUAACAUUGGUCUGUACAUAGCAUUGAUGAUGAGAUUGGAGGAGACCAUGCAGCAACUGAACUCUCUCUGCUUUUGAUCUUUUAUUUGUCUUUCAAUACUGUACUGCUGAUGGGUAGAGGAGGUGAACAUAAUCUACUUUCAGACCUUCACAAAAUCUUCACUAUCCUACACUGUAAGCCUGUUCUGAAACUUUAUGUGUACAAAGACCUUGGAGAAAAAAAUAUCUGUAAAGGACUAGGCUUUCUUUGACUAAGCUAAAUUCUUAUUGCAGUGUGGACGUGCUAUGGCUCACUGUAGGCUCUUGUCAUUUGUCCAGGAUGUUAUGAUGUGGAAUACCAAUAGCAAAGUUACAAAACCAUGACAGCUCUCCACUGUAGCACAGCUCAGGCACAUUUAUAUGACAUAGAGAUGUGAAUUAUUGGCCUAUAGCAAGCCUGCAGAUAAAUGCAGAACCUCAGUUCCUUGUACCUGUGAUUUGAUCAAGUACUCAGUCUCUAUUAAGCAGCGGAAAUUGCUUUUAAGCUAUUUCUUGAAAUGGGGAAAUGAAAGAUGCUCAUAAACUGCUUCUAGGAAGAGCAGCACUAAGUUUGAGGUAGCAUGGAUGAGCCUACCAGACUGGUUUGAGUACAUCUGGAUUUGUUAUUUUUCGCGUUCUUUGUUAAUCAUGAUCUCGUUAUGAGUGACUUUGUCUUAAAUUUUAAUGCUCUAUCUGAACUGCAGAUGAGUUUCAGCUUGAAUGAGGAGGGGAUAGCAGCAGUAGAAUAAGCAUAGUUGUUUAUCUAUUUUUUUUUUUUGUCAAUUUCUCCUUCACUUUAAUGUUUUUCUUUUAAAAUGACCUGCUAGUUAGUAUGCAAGGACAUUUACUGUGUAUCAUGGCAUCAGCAAGACAGUUAUGAAAAACAGCUAGAUUAAAUUGUCAAUUUAGAGACCAGAUUGCAAUCAGAAUUUGAUUUUGUGUCACUUUUUUUUUUUUUUUUUUUUUUUUUUUUUUUAAGAACAGACUGGUGGUAACCUUCAGGAGUUGUAACAGCAGCAUGUGCUUGGAUCAAAAAAGAGACUUGAGCUCUGUUCUUAAAUAACAGGCAAGUUCAGCUCUUGUUUACACGCAUGAGACUUUUACUGACAAUGAUGAGCUUAGAGCUGUAUAUACUACUCACGCAGAAUACAUAAUCAAGAGUGGAAACUAAUAAUUCUGAGACACCAGCUUUUAAAAAGACAGGAUUUAGAUGUGUUUGUGAUUACGGUGAUAUUUUAAACAAUUCUCAUAAUAAAGUGCUCUGCAUGUGUGAGUACUGCUUACUGACUGAAAGGUAGAUCACAAACGUGUAUGUGGGAUCUCACACCUGGCAGAAAACCAUUUUGUUGUCUCCUAUCUGCAGCCCUGUUUGGGCAUGCUUCAUUAGCUCCACCUGUGCAGGAGAAGUAGAGGAAAGAGUCCUGAGACAAAUCUGGAUCUUGGGGUAAAGUCUGUAUUGAUCUGUAGGUUGUAAAACUCUUUCUCCUGUAGUCUGUGAAAAUUCAGAACAGAAGCAACAAUCAAAGGAAGAAAAGCUUAUUUUUACAAAAUAGGAUUUUAAAAUCUUUCAUUGUAAUCCUAGACGGGCUUUGUUCUGACUGACUGCUAGGAUCAGAUUUACGCCAACUUUGGGGGAGUCCCAGUGGGGCAAAAUUGUUGCUUAACCUGGUAGAUAGCUUCCAGUAAUGGAUAGUUUAUAUAAAAUGGGAAUGUUUGGAUCAUUAAAUCUUAACUUGGAUUUUUUUUGCUAAGGAGCCACGUCCAGGCUCCAUUAACAUUUCAUCUUAUAAGCUUCUGUAAUUAGUUUCCUGUGAAAUUCUUACUUUGCCAUAGUCCUUUCUUUGUCCUUUCAAAACAAAAUUGUUAAAGAAUUUAAACAAUGGACUAUAGAUAAUUUGUUUGAAAUCAAGGAACAGCUUUACACCUUCAUGUCCAAGAGAGGCAAAAGACCUGAAAUACUGCAGGACAUAGAUGUGCCACCUGUUCCUCGGUGUCCUCUAUACUCAAGGAAUUGUGUACAAGAAUCUUGGUGUGACUGUCUAAAGGCAAAUAAACAAGAUUUAACAUGCAUUGUGACUUUAGAAAUUGGAAUAAUGAUAAAAACUUUCAGAAAACUAACAUGAACUUUAUUUAGUAGUAAUGUUAUUUUUUAGCUUCUGGGAACAGCGUUUCUUUUUGUCAUGUAAUCUGGAAUAUUUCAACCAUGUAAUCCUAUGUGGCAGAUAAAUACAUUUCAUAUAUAUAUAUAUUUUCACCUUAAAAAUAUUUAAUAAAACAUUCUUUUAUUUGCUGACUGAUCCGAUUUGUUCCUCAUCUGCUCUUUAUGUUCAUAGUUUAGACUUCAGCAGUUUUUUUAUCUAGAAAGGAUAUUUGAACUAUACU
ensembl:lncRNA